UACGGGGGGGGCAAGCGUUGUUCGGAAUUACUGGGCGUAAAGGGCCAGUAGGCGGCCAACUCAGUCGGAUGUGAAAUCCCCAGGCUUAACCUGGGAACUGCAUCCGAUACUGGCUGGCUUGAAUUCGGGAGAGGGAUGCAGAAUUCCAGGUGUAGCGGUGAAAUGCGUAGAUAUCUGGAGGAAUACCGGUGGCGAAGGCGGCAUCCUGGACCGACAUUGACGCUGAACGGCGAAAGCUAGGGGAGCAAACGGG
rnacentral:rRNA from 1 species